rnacentral:rRNA from 1 species
UGGGGAAUAUUGCGCAAUGGGCGAAAGCCUGACGCACCAACGCCGCGUGAGGGAUGACGGCCUUCGGGUUGUAAACCUCUUUCAGCAGGGAAGAAGCGAAAGUGACGGUACCUGCAGAAGAAGCACCGGCUAACUACGUGC